rnacentral:rRNA from 1 species
AGCAGCCGCGGUAAUUCCAGCUCCAAUAGCGUAUAUUAAAGUUGUUGCAGUUAAAAAGCUCGUAGUUGAAUUUCGAGACCGGUUUACUGGUCGUGCUUUUGUACGUACUGGUAUAAUCAGUUUCUCUCUUCUGACGAACUAUAAUGCCAUUAAUUUGGUGUUAUGGGAAAUCAGGACUGUUACUUUGAAAAAAUUAGAGUGUUUAAAGCAGGCUCACGCUUGAAUACAUUAGCAUGGAAUAACGAAAUAGGACGUUUGAUUCUAUUUUGUUGGUUUCUAGGAUCGACGUAAUGAUUAAUAGGGAUAGUUGGGGGCAUUAGUAUUCAAUUGUCAGAGGUGAAAUUCUUGGAUUUAUUGAAGACUAACUACUGCGAAAGCAUUUGCCAAGGAUGUUUUCAUUAAUCAAGAACGAAAGUUAGGGGAUCGAAGACGAUCAGAUACCGUCGUAGUCUUAACCAUAAACUAUGCCGACUAGGGAUCGGAUGAUGUUAAUUUUUAAUGACUCAUUCAGCGCCUUACG